CUUUUUUCUUUCUAUUUUCUUUCUUCUCCUUCCUCUUCAUCUCUCGAACCCUAGCCCGCCGCCGCUUAUGCCGCGGUUACGAUCCCCGCUUGGUGGUGCGACGGUGGCCGGUAUCUCCUCUCCUCUUUUUUCUUUUCUUUCUUUCCUUUCCUUUUUCCUUUCUCUCUUUCUCUCUUUUUGGUUGCUGUUUUUUCUUUGCUUGCUGUUUUUAUAUAUUUUUUGCUUGUUGCUUUGUUUGCUUGUGUAGGGGCGACGGUGGUGGUGGCGUCACGAUGGCGGUGCGACGACGGUGGUUGCGGGAGCGCGACGGUGAUGAGGGCCCUUUUGCUGCUGUUUUCUUAAUUUUUUUCUUUUUCUUUUGUAAAAAUCCAACCCCCUCUCCUUUCCUCUCACUUUUUUCUUUUAAAUCUUUCAACUUUGUCUCUUUCUUCUUUGUUUUCAGGUGGCAGCGGAGGAGGAGGAGGUACGCCAGACGACCGAUUGGGCGUGUCAGGCGUGGAGAACGGGGCACGCCCGAAUGCUGAUUGGGAGUAGUCUUGUCAUGCCCAGAAGGACUAAAUUGUAACGGGUGCAAAGUUUCUGGGGCAAAAAUGCAAAUUUAGGAAAAUAUGGGGCUAAAAUGUAAUUUCUUAAAAGUUAAGCGGUCAAAAUGUAAUUUAAAGAAAAUUUAGGGGUUUAAAUGUAAUUUAUAGAAAAGUUUGGGGUCAAAAUAUAAAUUUCAAAAAGUACAGGGGCUAAAAUGUAAUUUAUAUUUUUUGUAUUUUUUUUGAGAUUUUUUACUAUUAUUUUAUUAAUAUUUAAAACAGAAAUUAAAAAAAUAGGCUAAAACAAGUUGAAAAUUAAAUCUUAAUGGGCUUAAUCAUUGGGCCCAUACGAAACCAAAUCGGCCCAAAACCCUAAUCGGGCAAAAUUCAGUGAUGACAGCCGCCAUGGCCGACUGGCAGUGGCGAAAAGCUGGGUUCUCGACCCUUUUUGACGACCGACUUAAGGCCGAGCCUUCAUGGCCCUAAGGCCAUGGGAAGAAACCCCAAACGCCACCCCUUUUCGACCCGAUUUCAGUGACCCGAAGGACUCCGACGACGGCGCACGUGGGGAGGUUCGGGUAUGUUUCCUUCUCCCCUCUUUCUCUAUUAAUAGUUUCACUUUUUAAUAGAUUUGUAAAUGAAAAAAAAUAGGUGAAAAAAGAAAAAAAAUAAUCGAUUGAAAAACGAAGAACAGUACCCUUUUUUAUAUUUCUGAUUCUCUGAUAUGCGUUUUUUACAAAGAAAAUCGAAGAAAAAAAAACAGUGAUAAGCUUCGGCCUUUAUAGCCGAUUUCAAACUCCUAAAUCAAUUGUUUUUAUCAUUUUGCGUUUGGAUUGUGCUUGUUUGUCAUUUUCUGUUUUGUCUCUGUUGCAGGCGAUCUAACGAGCGUGGAGGGGCAAUGGGACACGACGACGGUGGCAUGCGAGGGUGUGAAGCGGCACUGGAGGCUGAAGACCUAGGUGCGGCGCACCUAAGGUUUUCCCUUGGCUGAAAGCUACUGAAUUUGUGGGCUAGGGUUUUAAUUUUUUUUGGUCUGUUGGGUUUGAAUUAGGCUGGUCCAAUUUUAGGUUAGUGGGCUUUAGUUUAGCUACUAGGCCUGGGUCAAAAAUUGGUCUGUACAAUUUUCACACGUAUACGUAUGUAAUAAGAUUUCUAGUAUAGAUAAUAUGGUUGAUUGAGCUAAUGUCACGGAUCAACUCAAUAUUGUAUCUUUUCAAAAAAAAAUUAAUAUUGAAUUUUCCUUUCACC
rnacentral:lncRNA from 1 species